GUUUUUGGUUAUUUAUCUUGAAUAUUAUUAUAGAUAGAGAUAAACUGUAAACAGCAAUAAUGUUCAGCAAAGUAAGAUUUACAAAUAAGUCAACAUGACCGAAAUGGUCAGUUGACCCCUUAAGGAUUAUUGCCCUUUAUAGUCAAUUUUUAACCAUUUUUCGUAAAUCUUAGUAAUCUUUUACAAAAAUCUUCUCCUCUGAAACUACUGGGCUAAAUUAAUCCAAACUUGGCCACAAUCAUCUUUGGGGUAUGUAGUUCAAAAAAUGUGUCCGGUGACCCGGCCAUCCAACCAAGAUGGCUGCCACAGCUAAAUAUAGGACAUAGGGGUAAAAUGCAGUUUUUGGCUUAUAACUCAAAAAUCAAAGCAUUUAGAGCAAAUCUGACAUGGGGUAAAAUUGUGUAUCAG
rnacentral:lncRNA from 1 species